rnacentral:rRNA from 1 species
CUGAGUACGGCGGAACACGUGAAAUUCCGUCGGAAUCCGGGAGGACCAUCUCCCAAGGCUAAAUACUCCCUAGUGACCGAUAGUGAACCAGUACCGUGAGGGAAAGGUGAAAAGCACCCCGGAAGGGGAGUGAAACAGUUCCUGAAACCGUGUGCCUACAAGUAGUUAGAGCCCGUUAAUGGGUGAUAGCGUGCCUUUUGUAGAAUGAACCGGCGAGUUACGAUUUGUUGCAAGGUUAAGCGGAAAAAGCGGAGCCGUAGCGAAAGCGAGUCUGAAUAGGGCGCAUAAGUAACAGGUCGUAGACCCGAAACCAGGUGAUCUACCCAUGUCCAGGAUGAAGGUAAGGUAAUACUUACUGGAGGUCCGAACCCACGCACGUUGAAAAGUGCGGGGAUGAGGUGUGGGUAGCGGAGAAAUUCCAAUCGAACUUGGAGAUAGCUGGUUCUCUCCGAAAUAGCUUUAGGGCUAGCCUCGAGGUAAAGAGUCAUGGAGGUAGAGCACUGUUUGGACUAGGGGCCCUUCUCGGGUUACCGAAUUCAGAUAAACUCCGAAUGCCAUGUACUUAUACUCGGGAGUCAGACUGCGAGUGAUAAGAUCCGUAGUCGAAAGGGAAACAGCCCAGACCACCAGUUAAGGUCCCCAAAUAUAUGUUAAGUGGAAAAGGAUGUGGGGUUGCUUAGACAACCAGGAUGUUGGCUUAGAAGCAGCCACCAUUGAAAGAGUGCGUAAUAGCUCACUGGUCGAGUGACCCCGCGCCGAAAAUGUACCGGGGCUAAACAUAUUACCGAAACUGUGGAUGAACCUCUUUAGAGGUUCGUGGUAGGAGAGCGUUCUAAGGGCGGUGAAGUCAGACCGGAAGGACUGGUGGAGCGCUUAGAAGUGAGAAUGCCGGUAUGAGUAGCGAAAGAAGGGUGAGAAUCCCUUCCACCGAAUAUCUAAGGUUUCCUGAGGAAGGCUCGUCCGCUCAGGGUUAGUCGGGACCUAAGCCGAGGCCGAUAGGCGUAGGCGAUGGACAACAGGUAGAGAUUCCUGUACCAGUGCUAAUUGUUUAACCGAUGGGGUGACACAGAAGGAUAGGGAAUCGCACGAAUGGAAAUGUGCGUCCAAGCAGUGAGUGUGAGAAGUAGGCAAAUCCGCUUCUCGCGAAGCAUG